UGUUGUGCAGUCGAUAAGUUGUCCGUUAAUAUUGAUCUAAUGUGUAUGUUCAUUAGCCUUUCUAGGUGUUUGAGCAUGAGGGAGGCGAGGUUUAUAGGUCUAAAAUCUUUAGCAUUUUCAUGCGUUCUUCUACCUGGAUUUGGUAGGAACACUAUCUUGACUCUUGACCGGAUACUUGCCUUAUAGUUCCUUUCAAGCCUUGGAACCAUUGUUUCUUCUGCUUCUGCAGCGUUUAUGGUAUGAUACCAUACGGACCCGCCGUUUUGUACGUUAAGCAGCUGUUAAUGGCGUAUGUAUGUGCAGUAGUAUGCUUUGCUCACGUAGCAUACUUUAGCGUACUUUAAGUUAAGGUUUCUCAUAUUUAGUGAAAAUAUUCCUUAAUAUCCGAUAAGUUUACGAAACAAAUAUUAUCUUUGCUGAAAAUGUAAAUUUCAUUUAGAGUGUCAUUUGCUUAUCUCGGGUCUCAUACCACAUCACCGCCACCCAGAUACCGCCUUCAAAAAUGUUGUGGCACAAAUUCCGCCAUUUAGAUUAGUCAUGCAAGUCACUCGCCAUCUUUUCGAAUUCAUUAACAGCAAAAUAAUAUCGCCAUUAACUUGAUUAUAUCAGUCAACGCGCCGAGUGAGUUUCCAUUCAAACGAAAUGUGCAUAUUCACUUGCAGCAAAGCUGUAGUGCUUAGGAGUAUCGCUAAUUUAAUCUUAACUACAGCGUAUUGUAUGCCUUGUCUUUGUGUGUGUGCGUGUGUUCGCCUGUUCGUUUGUCACACCGUGCGCUUUCAAUUAUUGCGGUUACAAAUCAGAAGUUAUGUUCGCCUCAAAAGCCGCUGUUGCACGAGUAAAUAGUAAUUAAGAAGCAAAACGCGUACAAAAUUCGAUAAUUUCGGUUAAUUUCCAAUUUGUGUUAAAUCUCUACUUAGCACUUGUGAUGCGACCGCGUUGCGCUGCGUCGCUCGCACCAACAAAGGCGUAAUGUGUCUACGGGUCGCGUAAGCCGAUUAUUUCGGCGAAUGCUUAUCAAUAAAUUUAGAUGUAGAUAAACGUUUAGAAUUAAUGCUGCGACACUUUCCACAGUGUAGCCGUGCGUUCGAGGUGUGAAGAGUUGGGCCAAGCAGUUAUUUUAAGGAUUGAAUUUAAAUAACUUCAAUCAACGGUGUGCCGAUUUUGACAGGAAAGAGUGGAGAAAGGUUUGAGCUGGAAUGGAAUGCUUAAAUAUUUCGAGGAUUCUCCUUCCUACGCUCACAACAAUAGCGUACGAGCAUGCAUUUUGUGUUCUAGGCAUCUGCGGAAGACUAUUCUGAUCGAAGGAUUAUUAUUUUCUUUCUUACAGAUUUUAGACUAGGAACAGUAAACUUGUAAGGCUAGAUCCUGGUAUAUACUAUGCUUACUUUCUCCACCAUUUUUCAUCAUAUAACAUAGACCUGAGACGCCGGAAGCUCACAAAAGACGGUACCUGCUACCUCUAUUAUUCAUAUAGAUAGAAAUCAUACAAAAAGGAAGCAAUAAGGUGUAGAUUAUAGAACUUAUGAUGGAAAAUGUUCGUCUUCAUAAGAUUAUGUUCCAGCAUUGCAAAUCUAGUCGUUGUUUUCAUCGUAGCGAGAUUAUGUUGUGUCCCCCAAAUUUUCCGUUACAGUUCUUUGCAUGGGAAAUGCGGCUUGAGAUGAUGGGUCGCAAAGGAAGAACUUCACUAAAUUAAUUAAAAUUACAGACGAAAUUGCGGACAGUCAUACGAAAAAAACGCUGCUCUUAUAAAAUAAAUUGCUUAGCUGUCAGCUGAAAGAGGAAGCUCCAACUUAAUAUAACGAGGAUAGUAACACAUUCCUUAUCCGAUGUCUUAUGUCUGAACACAUUUGGAAAUCCUUAUAUACUUUGA